AACGAACGCUGGCGGCAGGCCUAACACAUGCAAGUCGAACGCCCUGGCAACAGGGAGUGGCAGACGGGUGAGUAACGCGUGGGAACGUGCCCUUCGGUUCGGAAUAACUCAGGGAAACUUGAGCUAAUACCGAAUACGUGCGAGAGCAGAAAGAUUUAUCGCCGAAGGAUCGGCCCGCGUCCGAUUAGCUAGUUGGUGAGGUAAUGGCUCACCAAGGCGACGAUCGGUAGCUGGUCUGAGAGGAUGAUCAGCCACACUGGGACUGAGACACGGCCCAGACUCCUACGGGAGGCAGCAGUGGGGAAUAUUGGACAAUGGGCGCAAGCCUGAUCCAGCCAUGCCGCGUGAGUGAUGAAGGCCCUAGGGUUGUAAAGCUCUUUCGCCAGGGACGAUAAUGACGGUACCUGGAUAAGAAGCCCCGGCUAACUUCGUGCCAGCCGCCGCGGUAA
rnacentral:rRNA from 1 species